rnacentral:rRNA from 1 species
CCUACGGGAGGCAGCAGUAGGGAAUCUUCCACAAUGGGCGAAAGCCUGAUGGAGCAACGCCGCGUGGGUGAAGAAGGUCUUCGGAUCGUAAAACCCUGUUGUUAGAGAAGAAAGUGCGUGAGAGUAACUGUUCACGUGUCGACGGUAUCUAACCAGAAAGCCACGGCUAACUACGUGCCAGCAGCCGCGGUAAUACGUAGUUGGCAAGCGUUAUCCGGAUUUAUUGGGCGUAAAGGGAACGAAGGCGGUCUUUUAAGUCUGAUGUGAAAGCCUUCGGCUUAACCGGAGUAGUGCAUUGGAAACUGGGAGACUGGAGUGCAGAAGCGGAGAGUGGAACUCCAUGUGUAGCGGUGAAAUGCGUAGAUAUAUGGAAGAACACCAGUGGCGAAAGCGGCUCUCUGGUCUGUAACUGACGCUGAGGUUCGAAAGCGUGGGUAGCAAACAGGAUUAGAUACCCUUGUAGUC